CGUUUAGUGAGAGUGAGGCCAGGGAAAAAAAGGAAGAGACGCCAAUGAAUGUGGCACAAAAUGGAGGCGAAUACCACAUAUUCAACUGAGCAGCUUCUUUGCACAGCAAGGUUACAAUUUUAACAACAUUUGCUUUAUCUGAAGAAUUGCGUGCAACACACACUGUCAUUAUUUUGGUCGUUACAAUUGGUACCAGAGAUUACACAUUUCCACUUAGCAUAACAGAUGCCCAGGUGUUUCUUCUUUUAUAGCCAGCUAAGUGGUAAAAAUAUGGUCAGUUUCUUCCUCUUCCUAUCUUCAAUCCUUUGACCUUAUUUCUUUCUAGUGUUACUCAAAAAUGGGCAGAUCAAGCGGCUUAUUCUUUG